UGUCAUAAUAACGUAUGCGCUUUAUGCACUAUAAAAUGAUCAAAUGAUAUUCACUAUUUUGCAUAUAAAGAUAGAAAUAAUAUGGCUAAAAUUCUCAAAUUUGUGUAUGUUAUGAUUUUAUCUUUUUUCUUAUUUCUUGUUGCAAAGAGAGUUGAUUGCGGAUAUACAAACUUAAUUAAUAAGCCUGUUCCAUGUAAUACUAGAGAUGAUUGUCCACAAAUUUGGACUCGCAAGUAUCAUUGCAUUAACAACGAGUGUGUUGUAUAUAGUAUAAGUACCAUACGGCUAUAAAUAAGAGAAGGAUGAGUUCUUACACUAGAAGAAAUCCAUGCAAUAAUUGUAUCUUUUGAUAAGUUAUUAUUAUAAUGCACCCAAUAAUAAGUGUUUAAUUUUUGGUGUGCUUGGAGGAUUGUGUGUUUUUUAGAAGUUAUUAGUGUUGGAGGAAUGUAUUUGUGAUACCUUUUUGUAUUAUGAACUUUCUCUUGUUCUUUACGUAUAAUAUUAUUUGUGAUUAAAAAAAAAUCAUCGAAUAAUAAUUGUAUAUAUAUCUUUCGUUUAA